rnacentral:rRNA from 1 species
UCUCCUGGAAAACGGGUGGUAAUGCCGGAUGCUCCAGUUGGAUGCAUGUCCUUCUGGGAAAGAUUCAUCGGUAUGGGAUGGGGUCGCGUCCUAUCAGCUUGAUGGCGGGGUAACGGCCCACCAUGGCUUCGACGGGUAGCCGGCCUGAGAGGGCGACCGGCCACAUUGGGACUGAGAUACGGCCCAGACUCCUACGGGAGGCAGCAGUGGGGAAUAUUGCACAAUGGGCGCAAGCCUGAUGCAGCGACGCCGCGUGCGGGAUGACGGCCUUCGGGUUGUAAACCGCUUUUGAUUGGGAGCAAGCCCUUCGGGGUGAGUGUACCUUUCGAAUAAGCACCGGCUAACUACGUGCCAGCAGCCGCGGUAAUACGUAGGGUGCAAGCGUUAUCCGGAAUUAUUGGGCGUAAAGGGCUCGUAGGCGGUUCGUCGCGUCCGGUGUGAAAGUCCAUCGCUUAACGGUGGAUCCGCGCCGGGUACGGGCGGGCUUGAGUGCGGUAGGGGAGACUGGAAUUCCCGGUGUAACGGUGGAAUGUGUAGAUAUCGGGAAAGAACACCA